rnacentral:rRNA from 1 species
UACGUAGGGGGCAAGCGUUGUCCGGAAUCAUUGGGCGUAAAGAGCGUGUAGGCGGCCCGAUAAGUCCGCCGUGAAAGUCCAGGGCUCAACCCUGGAAUGCCGGUGGAAACUGUCGGGCUGGAGUCCGGAAGAGGCGAGUGGAAUUCCUGGUGUAGCGGUGAAAUGCGUAGAUAUCUGGAGGAAUACCGGUGGCGAAGGCGGCAUCCUGGACCGACAUUGACGCUGAACGGCGAAAGCUAGGGGAGCAAACGGG